UCGACCAGAACCAGGAAACAAGAGGGGAUUUCCCUCAAACCCUAAAAUUCACCAAAAUUCAUCAAUUGAAGGUGCAAAUCGAGUCCAAAUUGAAAUCUGAAUAUAGAUUUGUGAUCACCUUGACUAAGGGAUCGUAAGGCAAUACGAGUGAGGCGUCGGGGAGUCAAGCCGGUACGGACGCUCGCUUAAAGGGAAAGCUUUAAGGCAAUACGAGUGAGGCGUCGGGGAGUCAAGCCGGUACGGACGCUCGCUUAAAGGGAAAGCUUUAAGAUUCCAAGUAAGUCAAUCAAGCGGAUGGUGAUCAACUCAAGG